rnacentral:miRNA from 14 species
UGUGUGUGUGUGUGUGUGUGUGUGUGCGUGUGUGUGUGUGUGUGUUAUUAGCAACAUGUAAUGUAUGGUGCGUGAGUGUGGGUUCAUGAUGCUGUUAACACUGCCUGAAGGCUCAACAAUGUACCAACCUCAAGUAUGCACUCGCGCACACACACACACACACACACACG